rnacentral:rRNA from 1 species
CCCGCGACAAGCGGUGGAGCAUGUGGUUUAAUUCGAAUGCAACGCGAAGAACCUUACCAGGCCUUGACAUGCAGAGAACUUUCCAGAGAUGGAUUGGUGCCUUCGGGAACUCUGACACAGGUGCUGCAUGGCUGUCGUCAGCUCGUGUCGUGAGAUGUUGGGUUAAGUCCCGUAACGAGCGCAACCCUUGUCCUUAGUUACCAGCACGUUAUGGUGGGCACUCUAAGGAGACUGCCGGUGACAAACCGGAGGAAGGUGGGAUGACGUCAAGUCAUCAUGGCCCUUACGGCCUGGGCUACACACGUGCUACAAUGGUCGGUACAAAGGGUUGCCAAGCCGCGAGGUGGAGCUAAUCCCAUAAAACCGAUCGUAGUCCGGAUCGCAGUCUGCAACUCGACUGCGUGAAGUCGGAAUCGCUAGUAAUCGUGAAUCAGAAUGUCACGGUGAAUACGUUCCCGGGCCUU